GUAAAUUAUUUUCUUUGCACCAAUUACUCACAACUCAAUGUUAAUUUUAUUUAUGAAUAAAACUAUUGAUUAGCCAAUUAAUUAGCAUCAAUUACUCACAAAUCAACCAGAAUAAUCGUGGAAUUGUUUGAUUCCAAUAUGCAACAAAAUUUGUAAUUCAUUUGUCAAUAUUUAUUUGUUCAAUUCUUACUCUCCACUGUCUGAACGAGGAGUGGGGAGAAGCGUGCUAAAGCAAAUGACAUGAUCAAAGCCGCCCAAGCCGAUGUCAAGAAUCUUAGCAUUGAGGAGUGAUUGCAUCUAUGAAGCAGCUUCUUCAUAUUGUUGAAGAGGAAGAGCACGCGGUUUAUCCGCCAUC
rnacentral:lncRNA from 1 species